rnacentral:rRNA from 1 species
UAGGGAAUCUUCCACAAUGGACGAAAGUCUGAUGGAGCAACGCCGCGUGAGUGAAGAAAGGUUUCGGCUCGUAAAACUCUGUUGUUAAAGAAGAACAUAUCUGAGAGUAACUGUUCAGGUAUUGACGGUAUUUAACCAGAAAGCCACGGCUAACUACGUGCCAG